rnacentral:rRNA from 1 species
AUUGAACGCUGGCGGCAGGCCUAACACAUGCAAGUCGAGCGCGAAAGUCUUCGGAUGAGUAGAGCGGCGGACGGGUGCGUAACGCGUAGGAAUCUACCUAGUAGUGGGGGACAACUCGGGGAAACUCGAGCUAAUACCGCAUACGCCCUAAGGAGGAAAGUGGGGGACCGUAAGGCCUCACGCUAUUAGAUGAGCCUGCGUAGGAUUAGCUAGUUGGUAGGGUAAAGGCCUACCAAGGCGACGAUCCUUAGCUGGUCUGAGAGGAUGAUCAGCCACACUGGAACUGAGACACGGUCCAGACUCCUACGGGAGGCAGCAGUGGGGAAUCUUGCACAAUGGGCGAAAGCCUGAUGCAGCCAUGCCGCGUGUGUGAAGAAGGCCUUCGGGUUGUAAAGCACUUUAAGUGGGGAGAAAAGGGUAGUCAUUAACACUGGCUAUCUGUGAUGUUACCCACAGAAUAAGCACCGGCAAACUUCGUGCCAGCCGCCGCCGUAA